rnacentral:rRNA from 1 species
AGCUCCAAUAGCGUAUAUUAAAGUUGUUGCGGUAAAAAAGCUCGUAGUUGGAUUUCUGUUGAGGAGGAGCGGUCUACUCAACGAGUAUGCAUCUGUUUCCGCCUCGGCAUCCUCUCGAUAAUGAUUCCUGCGCUUCAUUGCGUGGGGUUGGUAUCGGGACUUUUACUUUGAGGAAAUUAGAGUGUUCACGGCAGGCUAUCGCCAGAAUACAUUAGCAUGGAAUAAUACUAUAGGAUCUCGAUUCUAUUUUGUUGGUUUCUAGAAGCGAGAUAAUGAUUAAUAGGGACAAUUGGGGGCAUUCGUAUCAACAUGUCAGAGGUGGAAUUCUUGGAUUAUGUUGCGACGAACUACUGCGAAAGCAUUUGCCAAGGAUGUUUUCA